AGUACAGACGAGUUUGAUCAUGGCUCAGAACGAACGCUGGCGGCAUGCCUAACACAUGCAAGUCGAACGAACCCUUCGGGGUUAGUGGCGCACGGGUGCGUAACGCGUGGGAACCUGCCUUUAGGUUCGGAAUAACAGUUAGAAAUGACUGCUAAUACCGGAUGAUGUCUUCGGACCAAAGAUUUAUCGCCUUUAGAUGGGCCCGCGUUGGAUUAGCUAGUUGGUGGGGUAAAGGCCUACCAAGGCGACGAUCCAUAGCUGGUCUGAGAGGAUGAUCAGCCACACUGGGACUGAGACACGGCCCAGACUCCUACGGGAGGCAGCAGUGGGGAAUAUUGGACAAUGGGCGAAAGCCUGAUCCAGCAAUGCCGCGUGAGUGAUGAAGGCCUUAGGGUUGUAAAGCUCUUUUACCAGGGAUGAUAAUGACAGUACCUGGAGAAUAAGCUCCGGCUAACUCCGUG
rnacentral:rRNA from 1 species